rnacentral:rRNA from 1 species
CAUAUCAAUAAGCGGAGGAAAAGAAACCAACAGGGAUUGCCCUAGUAACGGCGAGUGAAGCGGCAACAGCUCAAAUUUGAAAUCUGGCUCUUUUAGAGUCCGAGUUGUAAUUUGCAGAGGGCGCUUUGGCGUUGGCAGCGGUCCAAGUUCUUUGGAACAGGACGUCACAGAGGGUGAGAAUCCCGUACGUGGUCGCUAGCCUUCGCCGUGUAAAGCCCCUUCGACGAGUCGAGUUGUUUGGGAAUGCAGCUCUAAAUGGGAGGUAAAUUUCUUCUAAAGCUAAAUACUGGCCAGAGACCGAUAGCGCACAAGUAGAGUGAUCGAAAGAUGAAAAGCACUUUGGAAAGAGAGUCAAAUAGCACGUGAAAUUGUUGAAAGGGAAGCGCUUGCAGCCAGACUUGCCUGUAGUUGCUUAUCCGGACUUUUGUCCGGUGCACUCUUCUGCGGGCAGGCCAGCAUCAGUUUAGGCGGUUGGAUAAAGGUCUCUAUCACGUACCUCCCUUCGGGGUUGGCCUUAUAGGGGAGACGACAUGCAACCAGCCUGAACUGAGGUCCGCGCAUCUGCUAGGAUGCUGGCGUAAUGGCUGUAAGCGGCCCGUCUUGAAACACGGACCAAGGAGUCUAACAUCUAUGCGAGUGUUUGGGUGUCAAGCCCAGACGCGUAAUGAAAGUGAACGGAGGUGGGAACCUUUUAGGUGCACCAUCGACCGAUCCUGAUGUCUUCGGAUGGAUUUGAGUAAGAGCAUGGCUGUUGGGACCCGAAAGAUGGUGAACUAUGCUUGAAUAGGGUGAAGCCAGAGGAAACUCUGGUGGAGGCUCGCAGCGGUUCUGACGUGCAAAUCGAUCGUCAAAUUUGGGCAUAGGGGGCGAAAGACUAAUCGAACUAUCUAGUAGCUGGUUCCUGCGAGU